rnacentral:rRNA from 1 species
AUGGGAACGCGAAGAACCUUACCUACUCUUGACAUCCAGAGAACUUUCCAGAGGUGGAUUGGUGCCUUCGGGAACUCUGAGACAGGUGCUGCAUGGCUGUCGUCAGCUCGUGUUGUGAAAUGUUGGGUUAAGUCCCGCAACGAGCGCAACCCUUAUCCUUUGUUGCCAGCGGUUAGGCCGGGAACUCAAAGGAGACUGCCAGUGAUAAACUGGAGGAAGGUGGGGAUGACGUCAAGUCAUCAUGGCCCUUACGAGUAGGGCUACACACGUGCUACAAUGGCGCAUACAAAGAGAAGCGACCUCGCGAGAGCAAGCGGACCUCAUAAAGUGCGUCGUAGUCCGGAUUGGAGUCUGCAACUCGACUCCAUGAAGUCGGAAUCGCUAGUAAUCGUAGAUCAGAAUGCUACGGUGAAUACGUUCCCGGGUCUUGUACACACCG